ACCCCCACCUGACCCACACCACCUGCAAUAGUUCAGAGAAGUAUUUGGGUGAGAAAGAAAAUCAAAAUAGAAUCUAUUAUAUAUGUAUGUAGAAAGAACAUCAAAAUGCAUAGCUCAUAAAGAGCAGCUACCUCUAAUUGGUUUGCAGAGACCCUAACAAACAAGUAAGUAAGCAAGCAAACAAACAAUACAAUCCCUUAAAAGAAACUCCUCAGAAACUACUCCCACUACUACCAACCAGAACCACAAAACAAAUGAAUUAAAAAGAAAAGGAAAAAGCUGCAAUAAAAAGAUUUCAUUAAAAAUUUUAACAUAAUCCAUCUUAAUAAUUUCCCUUUUCUCCCUUUUUUUUUACUUCUGUACUUGUAUUAUGCUCCAUUCACGUUUAAGAGCAGUUUGCGUCUUUCUGUGCUUUGUAUGCGCGCACACCUGCCCAUCCAACAGCCUAUUUUUCAACUCAAAAAGUAAAAUCUAGAGACAUUAUAUAACACCAAAAUAUAGUAAAUAAAAAAAAUGGAAACAAAGAAAAUAAAAGGAGAAGAAGAAGAACAGCACAGAUUUUCGGGGCUUGGACUGCGUAGACGUUCAGAAACUCAAAAGCCGCUAAGAAAUCAUAAUUUUGGGAGAUAAAAAAUCGUCCGUUAAGGCAUUUAGACCUAUUAAACAACAAAUAAUCAAGAAUAGGCAACAAAAAUAAAGCAUUCCAGACCUUGAAUCCAUAUGUUAAUAAUCUUUGUGCUAAACACUUAGAUCUAAAGAGCAAUGAUCUACAAGAAGCCAACACAAAAAUAGCCUAAAACAGAUAGAGCAGAGACAGAGAUCCAAGUAAAGCAAAUAAUUGGUUUUCACAAGUGCUUUUCCAGAAAUCCAAAACUUGACGGGGGAAGAGUAAGCAAGGAAAAAAAAAAAUUAAAGCUUGGGUCAUCUUGUAGGAUAUUUUCAAAACAAAGGUUAACCAUUUUCAAGUUCUGCAUACCAACUAAGAUUCCACAUUUCAUGUAGAAACAGAUACUUCACCAUGAAAAAGACAUUUCUUUGAAAAGGGAACUGUAAAGAAGCAUUUGUACAGUUAAGAAGUUCCUAAAACAAAGAAGCUCCAAAACCCAUUAAAACUCUAAAAUUUUUCUAUCAAGCAUCCAACAUUGAAACAACAAAGAAGAAGAAGUGGAAGAAGAAACAGCCUCAGAGAAAAAACGUGGGGGAAAAAAACUCCAUUGAUUAACAGCGUACUGUCAGUCUUUAACAAACAACAUCCGUGUUUCUUACCAGAAAAUUUCCCUGUCUAGAAAAGCCUUUACCUUUGGCUGAGUUGGUGGUACUUAAAGUUUUUUAUCAGAAAAAUGUGAACGAAAAGAGUUU
rnacentral:misc_RNA from 1 species